AUUGAACGCUGGCGGCAUGCCUUACACAUGCAAGUCGAACGCGAAAGGGGGGCAACUCCUGAGUAGAGUGGCGCACGGGUGAGUAAUGCAUCGGAACGUGUCCUGUAGCGGGGGCUAACCUAGCGAAAGCUAGGCUAAUACCGCAUACGUCCUACGGGAGAACGUGGGGGAUCGUAAGCCAUCACACCAUAGGAGCGGCCGAUGCCGGAUUAGCUAGUUGGUGGGGGAAAAGCCUACCAAGGCGACGAUCCGUAGCUGGUCUGAGAGGAUGAUCAGCCACACUGGGACUGAGACACGGCCCAGACUCCUACGGGAGGCAGAAGUGGGGAAUUUUGGACAAUGGGGGAAACCCUGAUCCAGCCAUGCCGCGUGAGUGAAGAAGGCCUUCGGGUUGUAAAGCUCUUUCGGCCGGGACGAAAUCGCACGCGUGAAUAUCGCGUGUGGAUGACGGUACCGGAAGAAGAAGGACCGGCUAACUACGUGCCAGCCGCCGCAGUAA
rnacentral:rRNA from 1 species